rnacentral:SRP_RNA from 1 species
GCCAGGCGCAGUGGUGAGUACCUGUAGUCCCAGCUCUUGAAAGGUUGAGGUGGGAGGAGUGCUUGAGCCCAGGAGUUCUGUGCUGUAGUGUGCUAUGCCGAUUGGUGUCCGAGCUAAUUUCGGCAUCAAUAUGAUGACUUCCUGGGAGCGAGGGACCACGAAGUUGCCCAAAGAAGGGUAACUCGGCAGGUUGGAAAUGGAGCAGGCAAAAAAUCCUGUGCUGAUUGAUAGUGGGAUUGGGCCUGUAAAUAGCCACUGUACUCCAGGCUGGGUAACAUAGCAAGACUCUGUCUCU